rnacentral:lncRNA from 1 species
AUAAGAGAACUUUUGGAGUUGUUCGUAUUUUGAUCUUAUUUCCUCGAGUGCUUCAAACUCAAAGCAUUCAACUUUUCUCUGACCCUUCAAAAUCUCAAAUGAUUUUCUUUUCCAACAUUAAAACCAGGUAACUUUAUUCAAAUAUCACUUCGAAGUAAAUUUAAAGGAUUCUUGUUCUUGACUGUUAUCAACUUCCCUGCUUAUGAUCACAUUUCAGGUUAGCAUUCUAAGAAAAAACUUAGAUAGAGUAAUUCUACAGUUAAUUUUCAACUUUACAAAUGUUGUUCAAUGUGCUUACACAUAAAUUUUUGAAAGUUAUUUUAUGUCCCAAGGCAAUGAGUUCCACAGGAAAUAAAUGACGGCUAUCCUACUUUUCCUUUUACAAUAUCUUUUCCUAGGCCAAUAUACUCAAGGUAUAUGAAGUGAAUGGUUGGUGUGCUGAGAAAUAAAUAAUCGCCAAAUUAGAUAAUAUAUCAUAUCAAAAUGAAAGUUCUAUUCAGGGAAUCUAUCCGUUAGGCUGCAGAACUUUCAGAAAUAAUUACUUGUUGACUAUGAAUUUUGCCAUCAAAAACUUGUGACUUUCAUCUGCAAGCUAUUGAGAAAUACUAAGACUCUAAAAUAGCUUAAUUACAGAAAAUAAAAUAAACUAGACAUUUACCCCGUUACUUCAUCCCAUACCAGGUCCAUAUACAUUGGAAUCCAAAGGAACUUUCAAACCUGGAAUUGAUUUACCAAUGAAAUACUCAGCUAGAGUCUGUGAACAUUGUAUUCAUGAAAAAACUGCUUUACACUAAACGAGGUUCUAUUAAAUUAUCACAAUACUAUUUCUAUCUCAUCAUUAACUAUUUGAAAUUUAUUUCAUAAUAAAGGGCCAGCUUACCUCUUCAAAAAUAGCUUGUUUCCCAACAUAAAAC